GUAAAUUAGUUCCUGUUGGUGAAUUACGGCGAAAAUCCGUAGAAGUGCCGCUACUGUUAUAUCCAGAGCCCAACUUUUCAGUCCCGAGCAGGAAAAUGAAAAAAUAUCUAAAAAUAAUUC
rnacentral:ncRNA from 25 species